rnacentral:rRNA from 1 species
UGCCAGCCGCCGCGGUAAUACGGAGGGGGCUAGCGUUGCUCGGAAUUACUGGGCGUAAAGCGCGCGUAGGCGGUAAAUCUAGUCAGGCGUGAAAGCCCAGGGCUUAACCCUGGAAUUGCGUUUGAUACUGGUUUACUAGAAUUCGAGAGAGGGUAGUGGAAUUUCCAGUGUAGAGGUGAAAUUCGUAGAUAUUGGAAAGAACACCAGUGGCGAAGGCGGCUAUCUGGCUCGAUAUUGACGCUGAGGUGCGAAAGCGUGGGGAGCGAACGGGAUUAGAUA